rnacentral:lncRNA from 1 species
CUAUUGAUAGGAAUGAAAAUUGGUGCAGCCACUAUGGAACAGAAUACGGAGGCUCCUCAAAAAAUUAAAAGUAGAACUACCACGUGAUCUAGCAAUUCCACCUGGGUAUUUAUCCAAAGAAAAUGAAAGAGUUAACUCGAAAAGAUAUGCGCACCCUUAUGUUCAUUGCAGUAUUAUUUGCAACGGCCAAGAUAUGGGAACAAGCUAAGUGUCUAUUGAGGGAUAAAUGGAUGAAGAAAUUGUGGGAUAUCCGUACAAUGCAAUAUUAUUCAGCCAUAAAAGUGAAUAAAAUCUUGCCAUUCGUGAGAACAGAGAGGGACCUCGAGGGCAAUAUACCAAGUGAAAUAAGUUAGAGAAAGAAAAAUACUGUGUGAUCUCUCCUAUGUGUGGAAUCUAAAACAAAACAAAACAAAACAAAAAACACCAAGCUUGUAGAUACAUAGAAUAGAUUUGUGGUUGCCAGAAGCACAGGUGGGAGGUGGGAGAAAAAAGUGAAGGGGAUCAAAAGGUAAAAAGAAAAGAAAAAAGAGCGGGGCCUGGGAAUGCCUUUACAGGGUCCUUUUCUUAUGGCUGAGAAAUGUGUAAUUAAACACAAGGAAGAUGUCAUUCUCUUUUCCUCCUAACUUCCAAUGUCCCUCUAGUGACUCCUCUUGGGAAAAUGUAGUAGUAAUCAAACCGACAAAAAUGUGUGGGUAAUGUAGUUUUCUGAGUUCCAGCUUUUACAUCACAGAGUAUUAAAGGUGGAUUUGGGAGUUGAUAGACAAUAAUUGUACCUAUCUAAAAAUCUGUUAUAAUGAUUUAUAAAUAGGGAUCCAAAUGUGUGUUGCUUUAUUAUGAUAAUUAUAUUGGAAACAAUACAUAUUUCCAUCCUCCAUAACUUUCACACAUAAAUAUAACAUAAAAACAUAAUAGUAACAUAAAAACAAGUCUCCAUACACUCAAGGGUUUUUUCCACAGUUUUUUAUCCUAUUUCUUGCAUGCUAUAAUCACUUUGAAGGGAGUCAGAAAUUCGUG